CAGCAUGGACCUUCUGCCAUCAUCACCCUGAGGACAGAGCAGUGACAUCCCAGGGCCACCACUGCUCUCUGUCUUCCUGCAUGAAGCCAACACAGAGGGAAGAGGACUGGCUCCUGGUAGCUUGUCUUCUAGCAGGAGAUGGCCUGGGUUGUAGCAGCCAAAUGUAAUUCACAACUUUUGAGAGCCUAUGAAGCCCCGCAGGCAACUAAAUGCUACCCAGUCUCAAAGCAAUAGCUGCUGUUGGUUUCUUUGGGGUUACAGCUCCAUAGUGCUUCUUUCCCUCGGCUGUCUCGUUUAGCAUCUUGUUUGUUUUUGUCUCAUACUUAUCUCCUUACCUUUCUUUUCCCCAGAGAGCCUUGCUUGCUGACUGUCCCAAUGACUUUGCUGAGGUUUUGAUGCCCAGCUCUUAUGAGAUAUUGACUGUGGUUUGUACCUGGUGAAAUAAGCAUGUGGAAAUGACUUGGCAGUGUUCUCCCCCUGUACCAACUCCAGGAAUUGUUGCUGCACAGGACAACAACGACCACUAGUGGCUAACGAGGAAUUUUCCCAAAUGGAUAAAAGUGGAAGAGAAAACCCAUAGGUUUAAUACGCUGAGUUACUGUGGCAGAUGACUGUGGAUGGAUUUAGUGUGCUAAGAUGUAAAGCAGGUUUCAAGUCAAUUUCUCCCUCCAGACCAUGCUGUCUUGCCUUUACUCUGCCAUGAGUUCGGCUCUUAUGCUCGUGCCCAUCACACAAGGCUAUCAGCAGCAGUGGCUUCCAAUGCUGUCCCAACUACAGAGAACCCAGACCUCACACUCUGUAGCUGAUGGCCUUAUGUUUAUCAUCACAACGUACCUCAAAAAUUAGCCAAGUGUGCAAGUCUACUGAAGGCAGAUAUUUUUAAAAUAAGCAUCUCCAUUGCGGAUUAAUGGAGUAGAAAGUUUGAAUAACUGUGAUUUUAUGAACAUCAUCAACAUGAAGGAAGGGCUCUGGAAAUGGGGAAAUCAGGCAGAAUUGUUUUGUGGUGUACCUGUGGCACACAGAGCAGCUGGAGCUGAUCCGUGGGGAGGGGAGUGCGUAAAGCUGAUGUGUCAGGUGUGAGGUGUGUGUGUGGGAAUGGGCUGGGAACCAGCUGAGACCAUAUCCUUGUACCUCAAGAAGUUCUUUUUUAAAGCUCUACUGGAAAAAAAUAGAUUGAAUCCUACCUCUUUACAUCAGGUAACAGCAACACUCAACAGAACCAGCAGCUCUGUCAACAAGAGGGAGUAAGUCUCUGGGGCAUCAGAACUGUGGUGCUGCCUCUGCACCGAGCACUUUAUCACAUGGUUUAUAAAAUGAUGAAGAGGUAGGAGUAGUAGGAACCCUUGUGCAAUGACAGCUUGUGGGAGAGCAAUGCAACAGGAAAAACUCUAUUUGGUGGAGAGCUUGCCCUGCACUGGCACAUUGCUCCUGAAGCCCCAGGACUGCAAUGCUGGCUCCCCAUUGUACACCAGUGCAUUCUGCAUGGUUUUGCAUUCUGUGCUCAGUCUGUGUUGUCCGAGAUAAAACACAGUAAGGAUUUAUGGCUGUGAUGCAAGAGCUGGAUGGUUAAAGUUUUAUGGACUUCUUGUUUGAGUCACAGUAGCAGGGUGGCUGUAAAUCUUGGCAGCGGUGUUUGUAGUCAUCUAAAGGGAGUGCAUGUCUGAUACCAAGAUGAUUUCUUUUAUCACCAAUAACGAUGCCUACAGCAUACAAAUCGUUUCCGUGCCUGAACCCCGUGUCCGUGUCUCCUGUUCGGUGCCUGUUGAUCCACCAGAUGGCACUUGGUCCCUCUGAAUUUGCUUUUCCCACUGCUCCAAGGUAGUAACUGGUAACUGCUGUGUGUCUGGGUGUAACUCUUCUCAUUCUGAGUUAAUCCUUUUCUUAUUUUGCUGUUAAUUUACAAACAUGGUAAUGCUAAAAGGAUCUGAAAGCAAUUAAUGGAUUAGAUUCUGCUGUGAUCCACGCCCAGUGUUAUUUGUAAGAGAGCCCUCUGGGAAAACUUUGACUCAAUACAUAAACAUUGUAAGGACAUCUAAGAGGAUUUUGCACAAAACCUUCCAAGCAUUUUAACUUUCUGCUUUAGUAUUCAACCUCUCUAAAUGUGUGUGAUUACAGGAAUAUAUAAAUCAAGAGUUACAUGGACUUACUUCAACCUACUGAAAGCUCCAUCAGGAAAACACCUGUAGAGAGGAAAAACUGGUGUGGCUGAGAUGGUCCUCUGUAGUGGGAACCCCAAAAACAAGCCUCAUCAAAUGUGAGGAAGAAGAUAAAAAUCAGUAAAAAAAAAACCCACAAAAAAGAAUACUAAUUAGAGUAAUAAAGGUUCUCCCGUCUUCAAUCCUGCUUCUCCACCUGAUGAAUUUCUUGGUUGUAAAUGUACCAGCUGUGGGAUAUGGCGGUCUGCCCCCUGUUCCUGGUAAUGUCUGUGUCCACUGGAGACAACGAGAUUACUCCAGACUGAAAUUGAAGCCUUCUGUCUUAUACAGCAGUGUUUUUAUUGAAACCGUAAAUCUGCAAAAUGUUUUGGAGUUGCCAAAGUGUCUUGGGCUGCUUUUCAUUUAGACUCCAACCAACAAACACAAGUCCUGAAAGUAUGGUGAAGUUUUAACUUCUGAGACUUUCCUCCUGUUUUAACUGGGAAUUGUGCUAAUUUUGUUUGUAUUUUAAAUCUUUAUUUCAUUUGAAAUAUCAUCAAUUCUCUAGGAAAAAAAAAUGGAAUCCUUCAGUCUGCCAGAAAAAAACCGUUUUGCUUUUUGGAAACUUCAUUUACUUUCUUCUAUAUGGGAUUUCUGAAAGAACUGUAUUCCUGCUGUUUUGAUCAUAUCUCCAAAAUGGGAUCCUGCUCCCAGCUCUCUGUGAGCCUGCCAUGAGCAAAGCAGGAUUUGCCCUUUUGCUCUGUAAAAUGGCCUACGCAGACAGACCUGUUUGUUUAGCAGAGGGUUCCAACCAAAUGAUACCGACAAUGUUAAGUAACGAACUUUGCUAAUAGAUUUUGAUGAAUUUCAAAGGCCAAUUAAACCAAGAAGAGCACAAAGUAGCAUCAUAUAAAUAUUUAAUGUAAACUUAUGGAUUACAUUGUUCUGGUGACUGCUGUCAGAGGCACUUUGAAACCACAUGUGGCUCGUGAUAGCAAGACAGAGCCAGUUUCAGCCAGAGAUGAGUUCAGACUCCUCUAAUAAACACCCCUCCUGGGAUCACUUUCAAGUGCUAAAAUUUUAUGAGUAGCUAAAAAAUGUGAGUUCUGCAGUUGACGGUAAGCAUCGUUGUAUUUCCUCUCUGCUCUAAUGAAAGUGAUGGAAUAUACAUUUUUGGUACCAAAAACAAAGAUAACGUGGUUUUGAGAGACAAAUGACAAGUGAAGCAAAAUGUUCUCUUGGAAAGGGAGACUUUGUAGCCAGUAUUGGUCUCCAGAUGCUCUUAGAGCAAUGGGUUUGGAAGGAAGUUUAUUGUACCAGCUGCUGUUGGUGACGUUUGCCUGGGCUGGAGCUGCUGCUACUGGGCUCCAUGGUAUACAAAUGGAUCGAUCCCUGUGUGUUCCACAGGUGCUGGAGAGAACAGCAUGUUCUGCCCUUGGGUUUGAUGAGCUGG